rnacentral:lncRNA from 1 species
UUGUUAUUUUUGCAACUAAUCCUCUGAACUUUUUUCUAUCAACAUUAGCCAAACACAAGCCUUUCUCCCUAAAUUACCCUUCUUUACAGACCAAAACUAAUCGGCAUCGUGGCAUGAGUUAUUUUCAAACUUAUUGAUCUGAGUCGGAGGAUGGAUCUGAUGACAGGGUGCCUGUCGCACCAAAACUUGAAGUUGUUCAUGAUGAUGUUUGUGAUUCGUCGGAAACGGUGGCGUUUUGGCCGGAAAUUUGAGAUAAGUUGUAACUGUUUGGUGAUGCUUAGAUUCCGGCGAUGGGUUGGUCGAUCGGAGGUGGGGAAUAACGAAAGAGGUUGAGCUCGUGGAGAGGAGUGGAUUGAUUACGGUGGUGCUGGCUAAAUCGCGGCGGAAACCGGUGAAUGACGGCACGGUUGGCGCGGCUGUUUUGGUUGUUUUUCCGGCGAUCUGUGGCUAAUCAACGGUGUCCGAUGCUUGGGGUUUGAUGGCCGGCGAUUUAUGAUCCGUUUAGUGGUGGUUGCGUCCGGAUCGGUGACGGAAAACGAGAGCCGGCAGCCUUGGACGGUGGCCGCGGGCUGACGCUUUUGUUUUUGUUCUGUUUCGGUUUUUUUUUUUUUAAAUAAUGAAGCUAAACGGAAGAAAACAAAAAGGUGAAAGGAAAAGCAAUCUCUCACCCGCGUCGAAGUCGAGAAAAGUUAGAAGCAAUUUGGGCACGAAGAUUAUGGAAGGGGGAAUGAAUAUCAAUG